CACGUAGGCGGGUAUUUAAGUCAGGGGUGAAAUCCCAGAGCUCAACUCUGGAACUGCCUUUGAUACUGGGUACCUAGAGUAUGGAAGAGGUGAGUGGAAUUCCGAGUGUAGAGGUGAAAUUCGUAGAUAUUCGGAGGAACACCAGUGGCGAAGGCGGCUCACUGGUCCAUUACUGACGCUGAGGUGCGAAAGCGUGGGGAGCAAACA
rnacentral:rRNA from 1 species